rnacentral:rRNA from 1 species
CCUACGGGAGGCAGCAGUGAGGAAUAUUGGUCAAUGGGCGCGAGCCUGAACCAGCCAAGCCGCGUGAAGGAUGAAUGUCCUACGGGUUGUAAACUUCUUUUAUCAAGGAAUAAAGUGAGGCACGUGUGCCUUUUUGUAUGUACUUUAUGAAUAAGGAUCGGCUAACUCCGUGCCAGCAGCCGCGGUAAUACGGAGGAUCCGAGCGUUAUCCGGAUUUAUUGGGUUUAAAGGGAGCGGAGAGGGGGUGUUAAGUCAGGUGUGAAAGUUGGGGGCUCAACCGUAAAAGUGCAAUUGAUACUGGCAGCCUUGAGUACAGGAGAGGUAGGCGGAAUGCGUGGUGUAGCGGUGAAAUGCUUAGAUAUCGCGAAGAACUCCGAUUGCGAAGGCAGCUUACUAGACUGCCACUGACAUUGAGGCUCGAAAGUGUGGGUAUCAAACAGGAUUAGAUACCCGGGUAGUC